UACGUAGGGUGCAAGCGUUGUCCGGAAUUAUUGAGCGUAAAGGGCUCGUAGGCGGUCUGUCGCGUCGGGCGUGAAAACUCAGGGCUUAACCCUGAGCCUGCUUCCGAUACGGGCAGACUAGAGGCAGGUAGGGGAGAACGGAAUUCCCGGUGUAGCGGUGAAAUGCGCAGAUAUCGGGAGGAACACCGGUGGCGAAGGCGGUUCUCUGGGCCUGGACUGACGCUGAGGAGCGAAAGCGUGGGGAGCGAACAGG
rnacentral:rRNA from 1 species